rnacentral:rRNA from 1 species
AGCGCCAGGGUAUUACGAGUGCAAACUUAAAAUCCAAAGGAUUUGACGGUGUCCCACCCACCUAGAGGAGCCUGUUCUAUAAUCGAUAAUCCUCGAUUUACCUCACCAUUUCUUGCUCAGUCUGUAUACCUCCGUCGUAAGCUUACCAUUUGAAUGAAGUAAGUUUAAUGCAUCAACACGUCAGGUCAAGGUGCAACCAAUGAAACGGGAAGCAAUGGGCUACAAUUUCUAUAAUAGAACACACGAAAUACUACAUGAAAAAUAGUCAUGAAGGCGGAUUUAGUAGUAAAAGAAGAAUAGCAUGCUUCUUUAACAAGGCUCUGGGACGUGUACAAACCGCCCGUCACCCUCUUCAAUAGAGCACCUUAGAAGAGGCAAGUCGUAACAUGGUAAGUGUACUGGAAAGUGCACUUGGCAUCAAAAUGUAGCUUAAAAGCAUCUCGCUUACACCGAAAAAAUAUCUGUUUAACCCAGAUCAUUUUGAGCCAACAAUCUAGCCCUAAAACAUUUUAACUUUAUAGUAGAGGUGAUCAAAA